rnacentral:rRNA from 1 species
GACGAACGCUGGCGGCGUGCCUAAUACAUGCAAGUAGAAGCUAGUUGCGAACGGGUGAGUAAUGUAUCGGAACGUGCCCAGUAGCGGGGGAUAACUACGCGAAAGCGUUGCUAAUACCGCAUACUCUUGUAGCGGCCGAUAUCGGAUUAGCUAGUUGGUGGGGUAACGGCUCCCCAAGGCGUGGAUCCGUAGCCGGUUUGAGAGGACGACCAGCCCCAAUGGGACUGAGCCACGGGCCAGAAUCCAACGGGAGGCAGCAGGGGGGAAUUUUGAACAAUGGGGGGAACCCGGAUUCAGCCAUCCCGGGUGUGUGAGGAAGGCCUUCGGGUUGUAAAGCACUUUUGGCAGGAAAGCGGUACCUGCAGAAUAAGCACCGGCUAACUACGUGCCAGCCGCCGCGGUAAUAC